ACGGAAGGCAGCAGUGGGGAAUAUUGCACAAUGGGCGCAAGCCUGAUGCAGCCAUGCCGCGUGUAUGAAGAAGGCCUUCGGGUUGUAAAGUACUUUCAGUCGUGAGGAAGGUGUUAAGGUUAAUAACCUUAGCAAUUGACGUUAGCGACAGAAGAAGCACCGGCUAACUCCGUGCCAGCAGCCGCGGUAAUACGGAGGGUGCGAGCGUUAAUCGGAAUUACUGGGCUAAAGGGCACGCAGGCGGUUAAUUAAGUUGGAUGUGAAAUCCCCGGGCUUAACCUGGGAAUGGCAUUCAAGACUGGUUAGCUAGAGUCUUGUAGAGGGGGUAGAAUUCCAUGUGUAGCGGUGAAAUGCGUAGAGAUGUGGAGGAAUACCGGUGGCGAAGGCGGCCCCUGGACAAAGACUGACGCUCAUGUGCGAAAGCGUGGGGAGCAAACGAGGGAUUAGAUACC
rnacentral:rRNA from 1 species